GAUGAACGCUAGCGGCAGGCUUAAUACAUGCAAGUCGUGGGGCAGCAGGGUUGUAGCAAUACAAUCGCAGGCGACCGGCAAACGGGUGCGUAACACGUACGCAACCUUCCCGUUACUGUGGCAUAGCCCAGGGAAACUUGGAUUAAUACCACAUAUUAUAUUGAGGGUGCAUCCCUUUGAUAUCAAAGCUUCGGCGGUAACGGAUGGGCGUGCGGUUGAUUAGGUAGUUGGCGGGGUAACGGCCCACCAAGCCUACGAUCAAUAGCUGAUGUGAGAGCAUGAUCAGCCACACGGGCACUGAGACACGGGCCCGACUCCUACGGGAGGCAGCAGUAAGGAAUAUUGGGCAAUGGACGAAAGUCUGACCCAGCCAUGCCGCGUGAAGGAUUAAGGUCCUCUGGAUUGUAAACUUCUUUUCUCUGGGGCGAAAACCAGCUAUUCUUAGCUAUUUGACAGUACCAGAGGAAUAAGCACCGGCUAACUCCGUGCCAGCAGCCGCAGUAACAC
rnacentral:rRNA from 1 species